rnacentral:rRNA from 1 species
UACGUAGGGGGCAAGCGUUGUCCGGAAUCAUUGGGCGUAAAGAGCGUGUAGGCGGUUCGGUAAGUCGGCUGUGAAAGUCCAGGGCUCAACCCUGGGAUGCCGGUCGAUACUGCCGGACUAGAGUUCGGAAGAGGCGAGUGGAAUUCCCGGUGUAGCGGUGAAAUGCGCAGAUAUCGGGAGGAACACCUAUGGCGAAGGCAGCUCGCUGGGACGUUACUGACGCUGAGACGCGAAAGCCAGGGGAGCAAACGGG